CAGUGUGUUUGUGACUGGGGUGAUCAUGAAAAUAAGUUUAUUGAAGUUGAAGGAAUUCUGAGAAGACAGAUAAAGAUGUCUCUUAUUCCUAGUGUGCAACCUUUCCAUGCAAUAGCCUAUCCAAUUGAUCCAAUGCUUGCACUGGAGAUAAGUCGUAAAUAUGAUGCACACUGCUCUGUCAUU